rnacentral:rRNA from 1 species
UAGGGAAUCUUCCGCAAUGGGCGAAAGCCUGACGGAGCAACGCCGCGUGAGUGAUGAAGGUCUUCGGAUCGUAAAACUCUGUUAUUAGGGAAGAACAAAUGUGUAAGUAACUAUGCACGUCUUGACGGUACCUAAUCAGAAAGCCACGGCUAACUACGUGCCAGCAGCCGCGGUAAUACGUAGGUGGCAAGCGUUAUCCGGAAUUAUUGGGCGAAAAGCGCGCGUAGGCGGUUUUUUAAGUCUGAUGUGAAAGCCCACGGCUCAACCGUGGAGGGUCAUUGGAAACUGGAAAACUUGAGUGCAGAAGAGGAAAGUGGAAUUCCAUGUGUAGCGGUGAAAUGCGCAGAGAUAUGGAGGAACACCAGUGGCGAAGGCGACUUUCUGGUCUGUAACUGACGCUGAUGUGCGAAAGCGUGGGGAUCAAACAGG